rnacentral:rRNA from 1 species
GGUUGCGAUCAUACCAGCACUAAUGCACCGGAUCCCAUCAGAACUCCGUAGUUAAGCGUGCUUGGGCGGGAGUAGUACUAGGAUGGGUGAUCCCCUGGGAAGUCCUCGUGUUGCAACCCC